UGGAAAAUCGAGGCCGCUGGC
rnacentral:misc_RNA from 1 species